rnacentral:rRNA from 1 species
AGUAAAAGUCGUAACAAGGUUUCCGUAGGUGAACCUGCGGAAGGAUCAUUAACGAGUUUUAAUGAGUGGGACUUGAUGCUGGCCUCCCCUGGCACUUGUGCUCAGUCCCUCUCGCUCAUAUCCAUUCAACCCCUGUGCAUUACCUUCGAGUCGCUGUGAGUCUUGUCUCCUCUCUUGGGGGGAGACUUGAUUAGCUCGACUUCGGAUUAUCACACAUAUAAACACUUGUCAGAAUGUAAAGCUUAAUAUUAAUUAUUAAAUACAACUUUCAACAACGGAUCUCUUGGCUCUCGCAUCGAUGAAGAACGCAGCGAAAUGCGAUAAGUAAUGUGAAUUGCAGAAUUCAGUGAAUCAUCGAAUCUUUGAACGCACCUUGCGCUCCUUGGUAUUCCGAGGAGCAUGCCUGUUUGAGUGUCAUGUAAUCAUCAACCCUCGAGUGAUUUUUGGAUCGCUCCGAGUGGAUUGGACUUGGGGGGACUCUGUCGGCUGUCAUGGUCGACUCCUCUUGAAUGCAUUAAGCUGGACGUCGUCGCUCGCUUUGCGGUGUGAUAGUCUUAUUCACCUCUGCUAUAGUGUGACGUACUGACGGUUUUUAAACCUUAUUACUCUUUGACAAUUCUGGCCUCAAAUCAGGUAGGACUACCCGCUGAACUUAAGCAUAUCAAUAAGCGGAGGA